UACGGGGGGGGAGACAGCGUUGUCGGAUUUACUGGGCGUAAAGGGCGCGUAGGCGGCCAGCGCAAGUCAGUUGUGAAAUCUCCGAGCUUAACUCGGAACGGUCAACUGAUACUGUGCGGCUAGAGUGCAGAAAGGGGGCAACUGGAAUUCUUGGUGUAGCGGUGAAAUGCGUAGAUAUCAAGAGGAACACCAAUAGCGAAGGCAGCUCGCUGGGACGGUACUGACGCUGAGGCGCGAAAGCGUGGGGAGCGAACAGG
rnacentral:rRNA from 1 species